rnacentral:rRNA from 1 species
AUUGAACGCUGGCGGCAUGCCUUACACAUGCAAGUCGAACGGCAGCACGGGUGCUUGCACCUGGUGGCGAGUGGCGAACGGGUGAGUAAUACAUCGGAACGUACCUUAUCGUGGGGGAUAACGCAGCGAAAGCUGUGCUAAUACCGCAUACGCCCUGAGGGGGAAAGCGGGGGAUCGCAAGACCUCGCGCGAUUGGAGCGGCCGAUGCCUGAUUAGCUAGUUGGUGGGGUAAAAGCCCACCAAGGCGACGAUCAGUAGCUGGUCUGAGAGGACGAUCAGCCACACUGGGACUGAGACACGGCCCAGACUCCUACGGGAGGCAGCAGUGGGGAAUUUUGGACAAUGGGGGCAACCCUGAUCCAGCAAUGCCGCGUGAGUGAAGAAGGCCUUCGGGUUGUAAAGCUCUUUUGUCUGGGAAGAAACACUGGCUCUAACACAGUCCGGGAAUGACGGUACCUGAAGAAUAAGCACCGGCUAACUACGUGCCAGCCGCCGCCGUAA